GACGAACGCUGGCGGCGUGCUUAACACAUGCAAGUCGAACGAAGUGGCGAACGGGUGAGUAACGCGUAAUCAACCUGCCCUUCAGAGGGGGACACCAGUUGGAACCGACUGCUAAUACCGCAUACUGAAGGAGGGGAUUGCGUCUGAUUAGCUAGUUGGAGGGGUAAUGGCCCACCAAGGCGAUGAUCAGUAGGCGGUCUGAGAGGAUGAACGGGCACAAUGGGACUGAGACAAGGCCCAGACUCCUACGGGAGGGAGCAGUGGGGAAACUUCCGAAAUGGACGAAAGGCUGAAGGAGCAACGCCGGGUGAGUGAUGAAGGCCUUCGGGUUGUAAAGCUCUGUUAAUCGGGACGCGGUACCGGAAUAGAAAGCCACGGCUAACUACGUGCCAGCAGCCGCGGUAAUUC
rnacentral:rRNA from 1 species